rnacentral:rRNA from 1 species
AACGAACGCUGGCGGCAGGCUUAACACAUGCAAGUCGAGCGCCCCGCAAGGGGAGCGGCAGACGGGUGAGUAACGCGUGGGAACGUACCUUUUGGUUCGGAACAACUCCGGGAAACUGGAGCUAAUACCGGAUAAGCCCUAACGGGGAAAGAUUUAUCGCCGAACGAUCGGCCCGCGUCUGAUUAGCUAGUGGGUGAGGUAACGGCUCACCAAGGCGACGAUCAGUAGCUGGUCUGAGAGGAUGAGCAGCCACGCUGGGACUGAGACACGGCCCAGACUCCUACGGGAGGGAGCAGUGGGGAAUAUUGGAGAAGGGGCGCAAGCCUGAUACAGCCAUGCCGCGUGAGUGAUGAAGGCCUUAGGGUUGUAAAGCUCUUUUGUCCGGGAAGAUAAUGACUGUACCGGAAGAAUAAGCCCCGGCUAACUUCGUG